GGGGGCAUAGCUCAGUGGUUAGAGCAGGGCGCUCAUAACGCCUUGGCCGGGGGUUCAAGUCCCUCUGCCCCCACCA
rnacentral:tRNA from 1 species